rnacentral:rRNA from 1 species
ACUACGGGAGGCAGCAGUGAGGAAUAUUGGUCAAUGGCCGUAAGGCUGAACCAGCCAAGUCGCGUGAAGGAAGGAGGAUCUAUGGUUUGUAAACUUCUUUUAUAGGGGAAUAAAGGUAUCCACGUGUGGAUAUUUGCAUGGACCCUAUGAAUAAGCAUCGGCUAACUCCGUGCCAGCAGCCGCGGUAAUAAGGAGGAUGCGAGCGUUAUCCGGAUUUAUGGGGUUUAAAGGGGGCGUAGGUUGUUUUUGAAGUCAGCGGUGAAAGUUUGUGGCUCAACCAUAAAAUUGCCGUUGAAACUGGAAGACUUGAGUGUGUUUGAGGUAGGCGGAAUGCUUGGUGUAGCAGUGAAAUGCAUAGAUAUCACGCAGAACUCCGAGUGCGAAGGCAGCUUACUAAGCCAUAACUGACACUGAAGCACGAAAGCGUGGGGAUCAAACAGGAUUAGAUACCCCGGUAGUC